rnacentral:rRNA from 1 species
GAACUUAAGCAUAUCAAUAAGCGGAGGAAAAGAAACUAACAAGGAUUCCCCUAGUAACUGCGAGUGAAGCGGGAAAAGCUCAAAUUUAAAAUCUGACAGUCUUUGGCUGUCCGAGUUGUAAUCUAGAGAAGUGUUAUCCGCGCUGGACCGUGUACAAGUCUCCUGGAAUGGAGCGUCAUAGAGGGUGAGAAUCCCGUCUUUGACACGGACUSCCAGGGCUUUGUGAUGCACUCUCAAAGAGUCGAGUUGUUUGGGAAUGCAGCUCAAAAUGGGUGGUAAAUUCCAUCUAAAGCUAAAUAUUGGCGAGAGACCGAUAGCGAACAAGUACCGUGAGGGAAAGAUGAAAAGAACUUUGGAAAGAGAGUUAAACAGUACGUGAAAUUGCUGAAAGGGAAACGCUUGAAGUCAGUCGCGUUGUCCAGGGAUCAACCUUGCUUUUGCUUGGUGUACUUUCUGGUUGACGGGUCAGCAUCAAUUUUGACUAUUGGAAAAAGAUUAGGGGAAUGUGGCAUCUUUGGAUGUGUUAUAGCCCUUGGUUGUAUACAAUGGUUGGGAUUGAGGAACUCAGCAUGCCGCAAGGCCGGGUUUUUAACCACGUACGUGCUUAGGAUGCUGGCAUAAUGGCUUUAAUCGACCCGUCUUGAAACACGGACCAAGGAGUCUAACAUGCCUGCGAGUGUUUGGGUGGAAAACCCGAGCGCGUAAUGAAAGUGAAAGUUGAGAUCCCUGUCGUAGGGAGCAUCGACGCCCGGACCAGACCUUUUGUGACGGUUCCGCGGUAGAGCAUGUAUGUUGGGACCCGAAAGAUGGUGAACUAUGCCUGAAUAGGGUGAAGCCAGAGGAAACUCUGGUGGAGGCUCGUAGCGAUUCUGACGUGCAAAUCGAUCGUCAAAUUUGGGUAUAGGGGCGAAAGACUAAUCGAACCAUCUAGUANCUGGUUCCUGCCGAAGUUUCCCUCAGGA